AAGCUUAUAUGACAAAGACACAUUUCAGAACUUAACACACAAACAUUGUGACAAGUCAAGAAAUGAAGAAUAUUUCUGCUUUCUACAUUCUCGUUAUUUUUCUUAUUUUAUCAAUGGAUACAUUGUGUGUAGAAAGCGAAUCUAGGAUCUUAAACAUAUCCCCUUUUAAAUUCAAAGAGAUGAGUUUUAUCAGAGGUCGCAGAAACAGGCAGAUUCUCGUCAAACCCAAUCCUUCGCCAGCCGCAAAUCCUUCUGGUCGUUUUUACGGACCUAAGAGACUUUAACUGACUUUUUUCUGUCUUUUUUAACUGUUUUCUGAAAGAUUUCUUACAGUAAUUUUUCUUGUUGCACGCAGAGUCUAUAGUCCACCACCGAUGAGCAAGAAAUAAGGAAACUCUCGAUGAUGGAGACAAAUCUAGAAAUAUUUGUUAUAAUUUUAUUAAAUUUCACAUAUAAAUUUAUACUUUUUUGAUUUCCACUCGACCAAGAUGUAUUUAGGCAACUUUUUGGAGGCGCA
rnacentral:lncRNA from 1 species